GUAGGGUUCCCUACGGACCCGGUCCGUCCACCAUCUCCCAGGAUAUCUAGUUAGGCUGUCGACAUCAUCCAUUUAUCAAUUCACAUACCUUUUUUCCAUUUUUCUCGGUCUCAAUUUUUCAAUCAAACAUAAACACGUAAACCAAUAAUGAACACCAACCAAGACAACAACGGGUUCUCAAUAAUUCAAACCAUAAUAAACGAAACUAUGAUUCAUGCAUACGAAAUCAUAAAAUAAAUACAUCAGAUACCAUGUUGCAUUUUAAACUGUAAAAUAGAUCAAACAACAAC
rnacentral:lncRNA from 1 species